GCAGCUGCCAUUUCGAAUGUUCCGACAGUGUCCAUAUUGGAUGCCAUCAUCGGUAUACCCUGAUAAGUGCGCUUGGAGUUACGAAACGUAAUAUGUCGGAACAAGUCUACCUACAACAGAAAACAAAAUUGUAGUUUUUGUCACAUAGGAUUCUACGACAGAAAAAUUAUUGUCACAAUGUCACAUUCAACGGUUUAAAGAGGAGCAGAGGACAAGUCAGACAAGGACACUGCUGCUGUCAAUUGUCAUUAAUUGUUGUCAUCAGUCAUCACUUACCAUUACUAAUUACUUUAAAUACCUAUCUAAAUAGUAUAUAUUAUUGACUUUGUUCGAAUAUUUUUGUUAUUAAAAUAGUGCAUCACAGUUUCAGUACCUACCCAAACCCAACGUUAAUAAAUUAUCCGUGAAAUUAAAUAUUAUAAAA